rnacentral:rRNA from 1 species
AUGGAUUAUUUGGCCAUAGUCGUGGCACUCGUUGUUGUCACCGCCUCGUCCAUUGCCAUCCACCUCCUCGCCAGAGCCAAGAAAGCACGGCCGGGCAACCUUCCCCCGGGCUCCCUCGGCCUGCCGGUUAUCGGCCAGAGCCUCGGCCUCCUUCGGGCCAUGCGCGGCGACGGCGGCAGCCGCUGGAUCCAGGACCGGAUCGACAGGUACGGGCCCGUGUCCAAGCUGUCACUGUUCGGCAGGCCGACGGUGCUCCUGGCCGGGCCGGCGGCCAACAAGUUCCUGUUCUUCAGCGGCGCUUUCUCCACCCGGCAGCCCCGGUCCGUGCAGCGGAUACUCGGGGAGAAGAGCAUCCUCGACCUCCACGGCGCCGACCACCGGCGCAUCCGCGGCGCCCUGCUCGAGUUCCUCAGGCCGGACAUGCUCAAGGCGUACGUGGGCAGGAUCGACGGCGAGGUGCGGCGCCACCUCCAGGAGAACUGGGCCGGCCGCGCCACCGUCACGGUGCUGCCGCUCAUGAAGCGGCUCACGUUCGACAUCAUCUCAGCGCUGCUCUUCGGUCUCGAGAGGGGCGCCGUGCGGGACGCCCUGGCCGCCGACUUCGUGCGCAUGGUCGAGGGCAUAUGGGCCGUCCCGGUGAACCUGCCGUUCACGGCCUUCAGCCGGAGCCUCAAGGCUAGCGGCAGAGCCCGCCGGGUGCUCCAGGAGAUCACCCGGGAGAAGAAGAAGGCCAGCCAGGUGGAGGUGGAGCACGGCAACGGCAAGGCGUCGCGGAACAGCGACCUCAUCACCUGCCUGCUCAGCCUGAGGGACGGCCAUGGCGAGCGGCUGCUGACCGACGAGGAGAUCGUCGACAACGCCAUGGUCGCCCUCAUCGCCGGCCACGACACGUCGUCCAUCCUUAUGACGUUCAUGGUCCGCCACCUUGCCAGCGACGAUGCCACCCUCGCCGCCAUGGUUCAAGGCAAUUGA